rnacentral:lncRNA from 1 species
UGCAAAAAGCCGUAUUUUAAGAAGUUUGAGAGAAAAAAAUUACCUACUUAAUUUGGAAGACAGCGUUUUCAUUCACCAUUUUCGCCUGAACAAACCAGUUUAUUGGGAUCUUAUGAACGAAUUAGCACCAUAUGACAAUUGAACAGAAGCCGUCCUUGCCGUUUUAUUUGAGGUUUCUCUCAACAAUAUACUUCUUUUCCCACGGGUCGUAUCAGAAAUGCGUUGGGGGCGAUUGUCCAACUGCGAUGAGCCAGUCUUCUGUUUCGCGAUCACUGCAUUAUAUAAUAUUUCAAAUUUGAUUGUCAAAGUGAGAGCCGGAAAAAUUUGCUUCCCAAUAACAAGUGAAAUGCAAACACAAACAAAAAGAAGGCUUCAUUGGUGCAAAUGACUGCACACACAUUGGCAUUAUGGCACCUACAAGCAACGACCCUACAAAUCCAGCAAGCCUGUAUAUGAACCGGAAGGGUAAUUACAGUGUGAUUGAUUCGGCUCAUAAAAUGAAUUUAAAUUCAGGGCUAUUUCGUCCCACAAUCUUUUCUGAGCAAAUAGCAAAAAAAUUAAAUUCUACCAUAUUAUUUUGUACAUUGUGUCAUUACUGUGAAUUUUGGUGUGUCCACAUUUA